rnacentral:rRNA from 1 species
UGCCAGCAGCCGCGGUAAUACGUAGGUCCCGAGCGUUAUCCGGAAUUAUUGGGCGUAAAGGGCACGUAGCGGACAAAUAAGUUUGAUGUCAAAUAUGAUGGCUCAACCAUCAAGAGGCGUUGAAAACUGUUUAUCUAGAAUCUCGGAGAGGUAAGUGGAAUUCCAUGUGUAGCGGUGGAAUGCGUAGAUAUAUGGAGGAACACCAAUGGCGAAGGCAGCUUACUGGACGAAGAUUGACGCUGAGGUGCGAAAGCGUGGGUAGCAAACAGGAUUAGAUACCCUGGUAG